rnacentral:pre_miRNA from 1 species
GACAUACUUCCUCCGUUCAUAUUUAUAAGCAAAAGAGAGUCAACAAAAGUUGAUGUAUUUGAUCCAAAUUUUAGACUAAAUACAUCAACUUUUAUUAACCCACUUUUGCUUAUAAAUAGGAACGGAGGGAGUAUCAU